GACGAACGCUGGCGGCGUGCCUAAUACAUGCAAGUUGAGCGAUGAAGAUUGGUGCUUGCACCAAUUUGAAGAGCAGCGAACGGGUGAGUAACGCGUGGGGAAUCUGCCUUUGAGCGGGGGACAACAUUUGGAAACGAAUGCUAAUACCGCAUAACAACUUUAAACAUAAGUUUUAAGUUUGAAAGAUGCAAUUGCAUCACUCAAAGAUGAUCCCGCGUUGUAUUAGCUAGUUGGUGAGGUAAAGGCUCACCAAGGCGAUGAUACAUAGCCGACCUGAGAGGGUGAUCGGCCACAUUGGGACUGAGACACGGCCCAAACUCCUACGGGAGGCAGCAGUAGGGAAUCUUCGGCAAUGGACGAAAGUCUGACCGAGCAACGCCGCGGGAGUGAAGAAGGUUUUCAGAUCGUAAAACUCUGUUGGUAGAGAAGGACGUUGGUGAGAGUGGAAAGCUCAUCAAGUGACGGUAACUACCCAGAAAGGGACGGCUAACUACGUG
rnacentral:rRNA from 1 species